rnacentral:rRNA from 1 species
AGGGCACCACCAGGAGUGGAGCCUGCGGCUUAAUUUGACUCAACACGGGAAAACUUACCAGGUCCAGACAUAGGAAGGAUAGACAGAUUAAGAGUUCUUUCAUGAUUUAUUGGGUAGUGGUGCAUGGCCGUUCUUAGUUGGUGGAGUGAUUUGUCAGGUUAAUUCCGAUAACGAACGAGACCUCCGCCUGCUAAAUGGUUUUCUAUAGUAUUCUAUAGGAAUCCUCUUAGAGGGACACUAUACAUAAAGUAUAGGGAAGCUGGAGGCA